rnacentral:sRNA from 1 species
GGGAUAGUCAAGGUUUCGACAGGGAUUUUGCAGCUGGAGAAGCUAUCCGUUCCCCUUGCCUUGCAAGGGGUGGCGAUACGUUAAUCGCAAACACUAAACACAAACGCUGAAGAUAAUUUAGCAUACGCUGCUUAAAGCAGCCGUCCGCCCCGAUGCACCUGCACGUCGGGAAUCGGGCGUCGCCUAUGUAGGAAACGACACAGGUUAAGCUUUGCCCCUGUGGGCGUAUAAUGAAGCUACCGAACUGACAAGGGUGUCACUUUCCCGGUCAGCGGGGGAAUCCGGGUUCGCCCACAACAAGUGACUAUGAUAGUAGAAGGACAGGGAAUGAGUUCUUGGACGCGGGUUCGAUUCCCGCCUAUUCCAGCA